AUUGAACGCUGGCGGCAUGCCUUACACAUGCAAGUCGAACGGUAACAGGUCUUCGGAUGCUGACGAGUGGCGAACGGGUGAGUAAUACAUCGGGACGUGCCCGAUCGUGGGGGAUAACGAGGCGAAAGCUUUGCUAAUACCGCAUACGAUCUACGGAUGAAAGCGGGGGAUCUUCGGACCUCGCGCGGACGGAGCGGCCGAUGGCAGAUUAGGUAGUUGGUGGGAUAAAAGCUUACCAAGCCGACGAUCUGUAGCUGGUCUGAGAGGAUGAUCAGCCACACUGGGACUGAGACACGGCCCAGACUCCUACGGGAGGCAGCAGUGGGGAAUUUUGGACAAUGGGCGAAAGCCUGAUCCAGCCAUGCCGCGUGCAGGAUGAAGGCCUUCGGGUUGUAAACUGCUUUUGUACGGAACGAAAAGCCUCUUUCUAAUAAAGAGGGGUCAUGACGGUACCGUAAGAAUAAGCACCGGCUAACUACGUG
rnacentral:rRNA from 1 species